GAUGAACGCUGGCGGCGUGCCUAAUACAUGCAAGUCGAGCGAACAGAUGAGGAGCUUGCUCCUCUGACGUUAGCGGCGGACGGGUGAGUAACACGUGGAUAACCUACCUAUAAGACUGGGAUAACUUCGGGAAACCGGAGCUAAUACCGGAUAAUAUAUUGAACCGCAUGGUUCAAUAGUGAAAGACGGUUUUGCUGUCACUUAUAGAUGGAUCCGCGCCGCAUUAGCUAGUUGGUAAGGUAACGGCCUACCAAGGCAACGAUGCGUAGCCGACCUGAGAGGGUGGUCGGCCACACUGGAACUGAGACACGGUCCAGACUCCUACGGGAGGCAGCAGUAGGGAAUCUUCCGCAAUGGGCGAAAGCCUGACGGAGCAACGCCGCGUGAGUGAUGAAGGUCUUCGGAUCGUAAAACUCUGUUAUUAGGGAAGAACAAAUGUGUAAGUAACUAUGCACGUCUUGACGGUACCUAAUCAGAAAGCCACGGCUAACUACGUG
rnacentral:rRNA from 1 species